rnacentral:rRNA from 1 species
AGUGAACGCUGGCGGCAGGCCUAACACAUGCAAGUCGAGCGGCAGCGCGGGUGUAGCAAUACAUCUGGCGGCGAGCGGCGGACGGGUGAGGAAUACAUCGGAAUUUACCCAAUCGUGGGGGAUAACGUAGGGAAACUUACGCUAAUACCGCAUGAACUGGAGACAGCAAAGCGGCGGACCGAAAGGCGUCGCGCGGUUGGAUGAGCCGAUGUCGGAUUAGCAGUUGGCGGGGUAAAGGCCCACCAAGGCGACGAUCCGUAGCUGGUCUGAGAGGAUGAUCAGCCACACUGGAACUGAGACACGGUCCAGACUCCUACGGGAGGCAGCAGUGGGGAAUAUUGGACAAUGGGCGCAAGCCUGAUCCAGCCAUGCCGCGUGUGUGAAGAAGGCC